UACGUAGGGCGCAAGCGUUGUCCGGAAUUAUUGGGCGUAAAGAGCUCGUAGGCGGCUUGUCGCGUCGAAUGUGAAAACUCGGGGCUCAACUCCGAGCUUGCAUUCGAUACGGGCAGGCUAGAGUUCGGUAGGGGAGACUGGAAUUCCUGGUGUAGCGGUGAAAUGCGCAGAUAUCAGGAGGAACACCGGUGGCGAAGGCGGGUCUCCGGGCCGAUACUGACGCUGAGGAGCGAAAGCGUGGGGAGCGAACAGG
rnacentral:rRNA from 1 species